rnacentral:rRNA from 1 species
AAACGACUCUCGGCAACGGAUAUCCCGGCUCUCGCAUCGAUGAAGAACGUAGCGAAAUGCGAUACUUGGUGUGAAUUGCAGAAUCCCGUGAACCAUCGAGUCUUUGAACGCAAGUUGCGCCCGAAGCCAUUAGGCCUAGGGCACGUCUGCCUGGGUGUCACGC